GACGAACGCUGGCGGCGUGCUUAACACAUGCAAGUCGAACGGAAAGGCCCUGCUUUUGUGGGGUGCUCGAGUGGCGAACGGGUGAGUAACACGUGAGUAACCUGCCCUUGACUUUGGGAUAACUUCAGGAAACUGGGGCUAAUACCGGAUAGGAGCUCCUGCUGCAUGGUGGGGGUUGGAAAGUUUCGGCGGUUGGGGAUGGACUCGCGGCUUAUCAGCUUGUUGGUGGGGUAGUGGAUUACUAAGGCUUUGACGGGUAGCCGGCCUGAGAGGGUGACCGGCCACAUUGGGACUGAGAUACGGCCCAGACUCCUACGGGAGGCAGCAGUGGGAAAUAUUGCACAAUGGGCGGAAGCCUGAUGCAGCAACGCCGCGUGCGGGAUGACGGCCGUCGGGUUGGAAACCGCUUUCGCCUGUGACGAAGCGUGAGUGACGGUAAUGGGUAAAGAAGCACCGGCUAACUACGUG
rnacentral:rRNA from 1 species